rnacentral:rRNA from 1 species
AGAGUUUGAUCCUGGCUCAGAUUGAACGCUGGCGGCAUGCCUAACACAUGCAAGUCGAACGGCAGCAUGACGUGUAGCAAUACACGUUGAUGGCGAGUGGCGGACGGGUGAGGAACACAUCGGAAUCUGCCCAGUUGUGGGGGAUAACCCGGGGAAACCCGGACUAAUACCGCAUACGACCUUCGGGUGAAAGCAGGGGAUCUUCGGACCUUGCGCGAUUGGAUGAGCCGAUGUCGGAUUAGCUUGUUGGCGGGGUAACGGCCCACCAAGGCUACGAUCCGUAGCUGGUCUGAGAGGAUGAUCAGCCACAUUGGGACCGAGACACGGCCCAAACUCCUACGGGAGGCAGCAGUGGGGAAUAUUGGACAAUGGGGGCAACCCUGAUCCAGCAAUGCCGCGUGUGUGAAGAAGGCCUUCGGGUUGUAAAGCACUUUUAUCGGGAACGAAACAUUGUCGGCUAAUACCCGGCAAGACUGACGGUACCCGAGGAAUAAGCACCGGCUAACUCCGUGCCAGCCGCCGCGGUAAUAC